UACGGAGGGUGCAAGCAUUAAUCGGAUUUAUUGGGCGUAAAGGGCGUGUAGGCGGCUAUGUAAGUCAGAUGUGAAAUCCCGGAGCUCAACUCCGGAACAGCAUUUGAAACUACAUGGCUUGAGGGUAGAGGGAGAAAACAGAAUUCCACAAGUAGCGGUGAAAUGCGUAGAUAUGUGGAGGAAUACCUGUGGCGAAAGCGGUUUUCUACUUUAUUCCUGACGCUGAGGCGCGAAAGCAAGGGGAGCAAACAGG
rnacentral:rRNA from 1 species